UCCAAAAAUACAAAAAGGUGUAGGGCAAAUUUCAAUUCAACAUGAACUGUUCAUUCAAACAUGUGUUUUUUGCCGGGUUGGCCGAAAGAAAGGCCAACCAAACAUGUGUUUGACAUUGCAAUAGGUUGCACCUUUUUUUUUUCAUUUCUAUGCAGUUUCAAUGUACCAAGCAGGGGGCUAUAUCUGCAUUCUUGCCUAGGCGCAUGACUAUGCCAAAUUCAUCCAAAUUCUUGCCAUCCUCCAAUUUAAUUCGAUCUGUACAUGGAGUUGAUCAAACUUAAUUCCACACUCACCACCUUGAUUUGCAUCUUGAAUAGCUCUAAUUAGCACUGCAGGAGAGAAAAAACAUCAUCAUGCAAUGCAACAACUUAAUUAAUUUGGUCUAAUUUGAUCUAAUUCAGUGGCCAUAAAUAAUUAAUCUUCAGAUGAAAAUAAAGGUUCCAUUUUUUUCUCAUCCUUCAGUAAUUGGAAGCGUUGGCUUUUGCCGGUUGCUUACGGUCAAGUUUCAGGAGCCGGGCGAGUCGGCGCGCCAGCGCAUGCUGCUGGCCGCCGGCGCCACGGCGGCCUGGCGCGNNN
rnacentral:lncRNA from 1 species